rnacentral:rRNA from 1 species
UACAGAGGGUGCGAGCGUUAAUCGGAAUUACUGGGCGUAAAGGGUGCGUAGGUGGUUGUGUAAGUCAGAUGUGAAAUCCCCGGGCUUAACCUGGGAAUUGCAUUUGAAACUGGUUGACUAGAGUACGGUAGAGGGAAGUGGAAUUUCCGGUGUAGCGGUGAAAUGCGUAGAUAUCGGAAGGAACAUCAGUGGCGAAGGCGACUUCCUGGACCGUUACUGACACUGAGGCACGAAAGCGUGGGGAGCGAACAGG